CUCUUUUACUGUUUGUUUAUAUUCUGUUACUGAACUGCAAAGUUCUCAGUGGAAAGGAGGUUUCAGACGGAAAACCAUGGAGAGAUAAUGGCCAGCCCAGGCAGGAGCUUGUUGCUGUGACCAGAAGCAGAGGAAGAGGCUGCCACUUGCACAUCCAGCAGUGAUGAGACAGCAGCACGUCACUCCUGAAAGACGCGGAGAAAUGCUGUGAGCUCCUAGCGGUGAAGAGUGUCCCCUCUAAAGGGGACGAAAGUACUCCAAUGCACUGUGAGGCGGCAGCGUGGACACUAACAGAGAUGUGAGAAGAUACUGGUUUCUUUUCAGCAUCCAGAAGCUGACUGUACACUUCAUAAUAUGGAGACACAGAAGAGAGACCCCCGUCUCUAGGAGAAGAUACAAGAUGGGAGUAUCAGUCCAAGAGAAUUUCGAACUGUUGGCACUCAGCAUGGUUUCAAGAAUCCUGAUGUCCAAACUAGC